GAAUGCGUUCCCGGGUCUUGUACACACCGCCCGUCACACCACGGGAGUUGGAGACGCCCGAAGCCGAUUAUCUAACCUUUUGGAAGAAGUCGUCGAAGGUGGAAUCAAUAACUGGGGUGAAGUCGUAACAAGGUAGCCGUAUCGGAAGGGGCGGCUGGAUCACCUCCUUUCUAAGGAGA
rnacentral:rRNA from 1 species